ACGAGGCCGAGUGGGGGUUUGUAGAUCUGUGCACGAGAAGCUGCGCCGCUCAGCGCAUCCUGCCGGGGCUGCAACUGAGACCGAGGAGGAAAACCUGGGAUGGAGUCGAAGGACAGGCUGAAUCAUGAAAAGGUAAAACAGAAGACCUCUGGUGGCAAUCUCUGUAAUAGCUCUAUUCGUGUUAAUGCGUAUGUAUGUACGGAGGUAUGGAAGUAAAACCUUGCCAUCUGAUUUUCAGUUUGAAUUUCUAAAGCUUUUUUUUUUUUUUUCCAUCAAAAUUAGACUUUGAAUUUUAAAACCAUCGAAUUUCAAGCAUGCCUUUUUUAUUUCUGAUACUAUUUUUUUUCACAAUGAUGGAAUAAAUUCAAUGUAAAAAAAAGGUCUCUCAAAAAUAUUCGUCUGGUAAAAAUUCUACUUAAAAAAACAGUGUAAAUAAAAUUCAACAUAAAAAAAAAAUUCAGUGCAAAAUAAAUUGAGUGCAAAAGAGACAGACUCAACAUCCAGGUAACCAGGGAGAAGCAAUCGAUUCCUGGUUAAAUCAUCCAUCGUCCAGCCAAUCAAUUAAUGCUAGAUUGGUCAUGUGGCACAAACCCCAGUGGAAGAUUGAAUCCAAUCGAUUGCUUCUCCCUGGAUACCCAGAUGUUGAGUCGGUCUCUUUCACAGUGAAUUUUUUGACACUGAAAUAUUUGACACUGAAAUUUUUUAUUAUGUUGAAUUUUUUUACAGUUUUUUUAAGUCGAAUGUUCACUAAACUAAUAAUAAGAGGCCGAUUUUUUUACACCAAAUUUAUUCCAUCAUUGUGAAAAAAAAUUAGUGUUAGAAAAUGCGUGCUUGAAAUUCGAUGGUUUUGAAAUUCAAAGUCUAAUUUUGAUUCCAAAAAAUUUCAGCUAUAGAAGUUUAAAUUCAAAAUCAGAUGGCACAGAUUUACUUCCGUACCAAAGUCCUGUUUGGACAUGCAUCCAUAUGCUUUUUACUCACUGCUGUAAUUGGUUUGUCUUUUGAUGUUUCUUCUUCAUAUAUUAUUGUGUAGUAUAAACGCUUUAUUUUGCAUUAAUUUUAUGGGAAAUGCUUAACUGUUCAUAUCGUAUUUCUCUUUAUGUAGAUAGAUAGAUAGAUAGAUAGAUAGAUAGAUAGAUAGAUAGAUAGAUAGAUAGCAAGACCUUUUUUCCCGGGAUAACAAAAUCCCAGUUGUAACAAGAAAACAAGUUUUGUCAGUUGUAUUUUGAAUUUUUGUAUUUUGUGUUUGUAUUCUCACAGGAUAAGCAAAGAUGGCUUUGUCCACAGGGGGGUGCUGAAUUGAACACAAACCAAAACUUUUUCAUAGGAG